GGAGGCCCUACCCUACUGGAGCCGAAGGUUUCCAGUUACUCUUCUGAACCUUUUUUGUUCUUGAUCUGCCCCCUGCAGCCCCUGCCUGCCCAGAGAGGACUGCCUGGUGGGCAAAGAGAGGACUCCCGGGUUCCUGACAGUCCAGCUUCAGGCACACAUGGCAUUCAGAGAUGUGGCUGUGGAUUUCAGCCAGGAAGAGUGGAUGCUGCUGAGCCCCGCUCAAGAUCCCUGUACAGGGAGGUGAUGCUGGAGAAACUACAGGCAACCUGGUCUCACUGGUGUAAGCCCUGGAAUCUCUAAUGGACUCAUGUCCCUGCUGCGGGGCAUUUUAGGCUGUGCUUGAAGCAGCCAUCUUGCUUUCCUGAGUUGGCCCUUGUGCCCCUAACCUACAGCCACCUUGUUUUUUCUUUUCCUGUGAGCAGGAAUUCCAUUUUCUAAGCCAAAACUUAUCAGCCAGCUGGAGCAAGGGAAGGAAACCUGGAGAGAGGAGAGAACAUGCCCACCAGCCGCCCGUCCAGGUGAGUGGGGAGUGCUAGGCAAACGGAGAGAACAGAGCUGCAGGCAGCUUGGGCGUGGGAGACAGGAGGCAUUGCCCUGGUGCUAGAGAGCAGCUGUUCUCACCUCCCGUGC
rnacentral:lncRNA from 1 species